UUGGUUUAGAAGGGAAAUUGG
rnacentral:piRNA from 1 species